GGUAAAGUAAGUCAGUUGUCAAAUUUUUCGGCCUAACCGAAAGUCGGCAGCAGAUACUGCUUUGCUAGAGGGUGAAAGAGAGAAGUAGAAUUCUCGGAGUAGCGGUAAAAUGCGUAGAUCUCGAGAGGAACACCAAUGGCGAAAGCAGCUUCUUGGUUCAUUCCUGACGUUGAGGCACGAAAGCAUGGGGAGCAAACAGGAUUAGAUACCCUGGUAGUCCAUGCUGUAAACGAUGACCACUAGACGUUGGCUUUGCUUAGCAAGGUCAGUGUCGUAGCUAACGCGUUAAGUGGUCCGCCUGGGGACUACGGUCGCAAGACUAAAACUUAAAGGAAUUGACGGGGGUCCGCACAAGCGGUGGAACAUGUGGUUUAAUUCGACACUACGCGAGGAACCUUACCUAGGCUUGACAUGUAUUUGACCGCUGUAGAAAUACAGUUUUUCGGACUUUGUCCGAACAAAUACACAGGUGCUGCAUGGCUGUCGUCAGCUCGUGUCGUGAGAUGUCUGGCUAAGUCCUCUAACGAGCGCAACUCUUACUGUCAGUUGCUACUUCUUUAGAAGGCACUCUGACGGAACUGCCUGGGAAACCAGGAGGAAGGUGGGAAUGACGUCAAGUCAUCAUGGUCCUUAUGUCUAGGGCGACACACGUGUUACAAUGGCCGGUACAGAGGGCUGCAAAUUCGUAAGAAUGAGCUAAUCCCAUAAAGCCGGUCUAAGUUCGGAUUGAGGUCUGCAAUUCGACCUCAUGAA
rnacentral:rRNA from 1 species